rnacentral:lncRNA from 1 species
AAAAAAAAUAGUUUGUUUAAAACUUAAAAGAAAAAAAAAUGAAAUAGUGCUAGUGUCACAAUAGUUAUAUACUUGAAAGAGAGGGACAAAAACGUAAAAAGAAGUGACGAGAAUAAAUAUAUGAAAACGCCCUUUUUGCUCUACCACAAUAUUCCCCUUCCCUUCUAUUCUAUCUAAUUCUACAUUUUCAUUCUUCUAUAUUUUUCUCCCUCUUCAUUCCCCCAAAUCAUCACAUCACACCUUCUCUUCUCUCCCUCCAACCCUAUCACCACCCUUUCUCCGCCGCACACGCCACCAGUAACUGCAAUCCCUCCCUUCCUUCCCAAUACAGAUUCGUGCUUUCCUGAUCCCAUCUUUCUAUACCCUAAUCAUCCACCACCCCUAACCACCACAUCUAUUUUUUUCUUUUUU